AGAGUUUGAUCCUGGCUCAGGAUGAACGCUAGCGGCAGGCCUAAUACAUGCAAGUCGAGGGGUAAGGCUCAUUUCGGUGAGUACACGACCGGCGCACGGGUGCGUAACGCGUAUGCAACCUACCUUUAACAGGGGGAUAGCCCGAAGAAAUUCGGAUUAACACCCCAUAACACUGCGAUGUGGCAUCACAAUGCAGUUAAAACUCCGGUGGUUAAAGAUGGGCAUGCGUGACAUUAGAUAGUUGGUGAGGUAACGGCUCACCAAGUCUACGAUGUCUAGGGGUUCUGAGAGGAUGAUCCCCCACACUGGUACUGAGACACGGACCAGGCUCCUACGGGAGGCAGCAGUAAGGAAUACUGGUCAAUGGAGGAAACUCUGAACCAGCCAUGCCGCGUGCAGGAAGACGGCCCUAUGGGUUGUAAACUGCUUUUAUAUAGGAAUAAACCUCUUCUCGUGAGAAGAGCUGAUGGUACUAUACGAAUAAGGACCGGCUAACUCCGUGCCAGCAGCCGCGGUAAUACGAGGGUCCAAGCGUUAUCCGGAUUUAAUGGGUUUAAAGGGUGCGCAGGCGGGCCUGCAAGUCAGUGGUGAAAUCCCGGGGCUCAACUCCGGAACUGCCAUUGAUACUACAGGUCUUGAGUUUGGUUGAAGUGGGCGGAAUGUAGCAUGUAGCGGUGAAAUGCAUAGAUAUGCUACAGAACACCGAUCGCGAAGGCAGCUCACUAAACCAAAACUGACGCUCAGGCACGAAAGCGUGGGUAGCGAACAGGAUUAGAUACCCUGGUAGUCCACGCCGUAAACGAUGAUUACUCGUUGUUGGCAACAUAUCGUCAGUGACCAAGCGAAAGCGAUAAGUAAUCCACCUGGGGAGUACGUUCGCAAGAAUGAAACUCAAAGGAAUUGACGGGGGCCCGCACAAGCGGUGGAGCAUGUGGUUUAAUCCGACGAUACGCGAGAAACCUUACCAGGGCUUGACAUCUACUGGAAUGUACAAGAGAUUGUACAGCCUGCUUGCAGGCCGGUAGACAGGUGCUGCAUGGUUGUCGUCAGCUCGUGCCGUGAGGUGUCGGGUUAAGUCCCAUAACGAGCGCAACCCCUAUUCUUAGUUGCCAUCAGGUCAUGCUGGGGACUCUAGGAAAACUGCCUACGCAAGUAGAGAGGAAGGUGGGGAUGACGUCAAAUCAGCACGGCCCUUACGUCCAGGGCUACACACGUGCUACAAUGGCCGGUACAGAGGGCAGCCACUGCGUGAGCAGGAGCGAAUCUCGAAAGCCGGUCUCAGUUCGGAUCGAAGUCUGCAACCCGACUUCGUGAAGCUGGAAUCGCUAGUAAUCGCGCAUCAGCCAUGGCGCGGUGAAUACGUUCCCGGGCCUUGUACACACCGCCCGUCAAGCCAUGGAAGCUGGGGGUACCUGAAGUCGGUAACCGAAAGGAGCUGCCUAGGGUAAAACUAGUGACUGGGGCUAAGUCGAAACAAGGUA
rnacentral:rRNA from 1 species